CUUUCGCGGUUCCCUUUCUCUUUCGCGGUUCCUCUUCUCCUUUCUCGGUGCCUCUCACCACUCAAGAUUUUACUCACUCAUUUCAUCAUCUGUUUGCUUUUGAUUUCAUUUUCGCCCGCUGAUUUCAUCACUAAACUGUGUUGAUUUCAAUUUCGUGUCUUAGGAGGAGGAAGCAGUUGUGGCUCGUGCCCUAGGAGGAAGAAGGCAUUGCUCUUUCAAUUUCAUGGUUUUCCCUGAAAUAAGUUUUGUUUUACAGGUUCACUAACAUGGUUGACAGUAGUGCAGUCCACUACUUGAAGACUAUGUCAUUAUAGCUGCAUUGUGGUUCCAUUUUAUAUUUCAUCAAGAUUCUUCUUUCAUUCUUGUUUUUCCUAAUUUGAUUCCCUUAAAUGGUUAUCUUAGAAUUAUAUCACUGAUUAGAAAUUUCUUUCUUUGUAAUGUUCUGUUUUAGUAGAACAUCUUUAGGUACAAAGUUAGAUUUUAAAAUUGCAAACCUUUAUUCAUGCAUGCAACGUUCUUGUAAAAAGUUUUCUAAUAAAGAAAUAUGUUACCACCUUUUAAUUGCAGCAUAUAUGAUGUAACAAUUUGCACAUGAAUUUCAGGCUUACUUUCCUCCUAUUUCACAAUCAGAUGGUGUUCCUUUGCAUAUGAAAGAUGUGAAGGGAAAUGAGUGGACAUUUCAGUUUAGAUUUUGGCCUAAUAACAACAGUAGAAUGUAUGUAUUAGAGGGAGUAACCCCUUGCAUACAGGCCUUGCAACUAAAUGCUGGCGACAUUGGUAUAUAAUUUCAUCUGGACAGUGAUCUAUGCACAUACUUGUUUCGUUGCUGUUUAAUACUUUACUAAAAAACUUUAUUCGGUAUUCUGAUUUUGUUUAAAAAUUUGAUUAGAAGUAAAUGUGUUUCAUGGCUAUAAACUUAUUCUGCUGCAAUGAUAUUUAGUCGGAUAGAUCCUGGAGGCAAAUUUGUUUUGGGUUUUAGAAGGGCAUCAGAUUGUACAGAUACACAGGUUCUGACAUUAUUUUCUAUUUCACAGUUCGAUGUCUCUUCUUUUGAUAAUGCGUGUAUGAUGUUUUUUUUUCAUAAAAUUAACAAGUGAUCAUUAUUGAAACAGGAUGCUUCUGCUGGUAAUUCCAGUGUUUUUCCAAGAAAGGAAAAAACCUUUUCUGGUACAACUGUAGGAAAUAGUUAUCAUGAUCUUCUCAAGACAAGAAAAGCGAAUGGUGAUCCUUACUUAAAUAAAUGCUCAGAGCAUUUCCAUUUGGGUACUGGAAUUGCUAAGCGUCUUCGAACUAAAAAUUUUGAGAUGGUAAACAACGGUUUGGUACAACUACCAAUUUCAGUUUCAGAAAAGACUCAAAAUAUUGGGCCUAUGUUUUUUAUUUUCUUUUUCUUUUCAAAGAUAGGGGUGGUUGAUUUUGGUGGUCAUCAAUGCAGUUGUUAUUAAGGCUCUAAAAUUAUAUUGGUUAGGCAAGGAGACAAAGAGUUGGAUAUCCCAGGCAAUGGGGAAGACUGAUUGGCAAUGCCCAUGAGAAUCGGAAUAAAAUGUCAAAGCAAGCAGAAUAUAUUUCCAGAAAACUAGCAAGGUUUAUUUGCAUAAUAUUGAUAUAUCUUUGUUAGGUCAUGUAGAAAGCUUUACUAAUGUCUUACACAGUUAUCAUUUUGAACUGGAGGAGAUUUGAACUAAGCUAUAAAUUUAAUGUAGGAUGAAUUUAAUGUUUGAAGUUUUAUUCCUCCAUCAGGAAGAGGACUUAAAGGAUGUAUUGGAGUUGCUUUUUGCUAGAUAUUGAUAUAGGGAAAAGGUUUCCUAACUAUAUUUUCUUAUUUAAGGUGAUGGAGGUAGUUCCUAAGGCAAAAGAGAACAACGUUCACCUUGACAAAAGCAUAUGAUGUGUUGGGCAUUAAUGAGAAAUCUGUUAAGUCAAUGCCAUUUAAACAGCUUGUUGUUCUGAUUGAAUCAACUUCUACCCUUCAUAUUGUGAAAACUUUGUUUGACCAGUUUGAGAGCUGCCUCAAAGUGUCUACAACAGCUUUGUAAAUUUUGGCAGAUAGUCAAACAAUAGCUUAGCUAGGUCAUCAAGGUAUCGUGUGAGAUUUGUUCUUUGUGCUUAUAUGAUAUUGGGUCAUCCAGAUGCAGUUUUCAGUGGAAUGGAAGAAUGUGAGAUUGCUCUAGCCAAAGCUACACAAGAGUUUGUCCACAUGUUUGAGUUGUUGAUGAAGAUUGUAUUAGAUGGGCUAGUACACAAUUUUGAUGAAGAGUCUGUCUCAGCAGCUAUGAAUCGUUGUACCUUCAGAUCUCAGCUUGCUGCUUUUGAUAAAGCUUGGUGCUCAUACUUGAAUUGUUUCGUGGUAUGAAAGGUUAAGAAUGCUCAAUCGUUGGAGGAGGAUUUGGUAAGAGCAGGUUGCCAACUUGAAGCUUCUAUGAUUCAAACUUGCAAGUUAUCUCUAGAAGGACUUGUUGCUGAUAAGCUUAGUCAUGAUAUGAAAGCUAUUCAACGUCAGGUAAUGGCUGAUUUUGGAUGAAGCUAUAGGUUGAGGCUCUUCCUUAGGCCUUUGAUGUUGAUAUGCUCAUAUUAUCCCAUAAACUACAGUUUGAUUCGCCCAUAUAUAUAUAUAUAUAUAUAUUAUCUUUCAGGGGAAAAUAAAACAAGCAACGGAGAAGGCCUUUUGGGAUGGUAUCAUGGAAUCUGUUAAGGGAGACCAACCCAACUAUGACUGGAUAGUUCAACUCAUGUGAGAGGUUACGGAUGAAAUUUGUGAAAUGGCUCCAAAAAGCUGGAAGGAGGAUAUUUUUUCUGCCAUUGAUUUAGAAAUUAUUUCUCAAGUACAUAUUCUCUUUCUUGCAGCCUGUGAUGGCUAUUAGAUGCAUGAUUGGCGUAUACCUUAUAAUAUUUUCUUCUUUUCUGACAUUUUCUAUAUACAUGAAGGUGCUGAAAUCAGGUAAACUGGAUGUUGAUUAUCUUGGGAGAAUUCUGGAGUUUUCAAUCACGAGUUUGCAGAAACUCUCAUCUCCAACCAAUGAGGAGAUGAUGAAAGCUACACACAAGAAACUAUUUCAUGAAUCGGGUGAAAUUUGUCAAUCAAGGGAUGGUUUAAACAAUUAUUGUGUUGUAGCAUUGGUGAAGGGCUUGUAAUUUGUCUUUUAGCAGAUUCAGGUCUUUUUGCUUAACUUUUAUUUAUUCGUGCACUUUGCUUAAUUUUAUAACUGAAACUUACUAGGUCAA